rnacentral:rRNA from 1 species
AUAGCGGAGGAAAAGGAACCAACAGGGAUUGCCCUAGUAACGGCGAGUGAACAGGCAAGAGCUCAGAUUUGAAAGGCACUUUUGUGCCGUUGUAUUCUGAAGUUAGGGUCCUGAGAAACGAUGCUUAAGUCUUCUGGAAAGGAGCGCCAUGGAGGGUGAUAGCCCCGUCUAGCAUUGACCUCAUAUAGGAUCUUAACAUGGAGUCGAGUUGUUUGGGAAUGCAGCUCAAAUGGGUGGUAUGCUCCAUCUAAAGCUAAAUAUCUGCGAGAGACCGAUAGUAAACAAGUACUGUGAGGGAAAGAUGAAAAGAACUUUGAAAAGAGAGUGAAAAAGUACGUGAAAUUGUUGAAAUGGAAGGGUAGGCCGCUAACCAUGUAGAGCCGUGUUUGGGGGGAAGAUAAAUGCUGUAGAAUGUAGCUCCUCGGAGUAUUAUAGAUGCGGUUCAUAUUCCCACCCGUUUCUGUGUUCCCCC